rnacentral:rRNA from 1 species
GUGGGGAAUAUUGGGCAAUGGAGGAAACUCUGACCCAGCAACGCCGCGUGAAUGAUGAAGGUCUUCGGAUUGUAAAGUUCUUUUCUAAGGGAAGAAGAAAGUGACGGUACCUUAGGAAUAAGCCUCGGCUAACUACGUGCCAGCAGCCGCGGUAAUACGUAGGAGGCAAGCGUUAUCCGGAAUGACUGGGCGUAAAGGGUGCGUAGGUGGUUUGACAAGUUGGUAGCGUAACUCCGGAGCUCAACUUCGGAACUACUACCAAAACUGUUGGACUCGAGUGCAGGAGGGGCAACUGGAAUUUCUAGUGUAGCGGUGGAAUGCGUAGAUAUUAGGAAGAACACCGGUGGCGAAGGCGAGUUGCUGGACUGUAACUGACACUGAGGCACGAAAGCGUGGGGAGCAAACAGG